CCUACGGGAGGCAGCAGUGAGGAAUAUUGGUCAAUGGCCGAGAGGCUGAACCAGCCAAGUCGCGUGAGGGAUGACGGCCCUACGGGUUGUAAACCUCUUUUGUCGGGGAGCAAAGAGAGUCACGUGUGGUUCAUUGAGAGUACCCGAAGAAAAAGCAUCGGCUAACUCCGUGCCAGCAGCCGCGGUAAUACGGAGGAUGCGAGCGUUAUCCGGAUUUAUUGGGUUUAAAGGGUGCGCAGGCGGAGGUGCAAGUCAGUGGUCAAAUUGCGGGGCUCAACCCCGUACUGCCGUUGAAACUGCAUCCCUUGAGUGCGCGAGAAGUAUGCGGAAUGCGUGGUGUAGCGGUGAAAUGCAUAGAUAUCACGCAGAACUCCGAUUGCGAAGGCAGCAUACCGGCGCGCAACUGACGCUCAUGCACGAAAGCGUGGGUAUCGAACAGGAUUAGAUACCCUAGUAGUC
rnacentral:rRNA from 1 species